CAGUAGCCGCGGGAAUACAGAGGGUGCGAGCGUUAAUCGGAUUUACUGGGCGUAAAGCUUGCGUAGGCGGCUUCUUAAGUCGGAUGUGAAAUCCCUGAGCUUAACUUAGGAAUUGCAUUCGAUACUGGGAAGCUAGAGUAUGGGAGAGGAUGGUAGAAUUCCAGGUGUAGCGGUGAAAUGCGUAGAGAUCUGGAGGAAUACCGAUGGCGAAGGCAGCCAUCUGGCCUAAUACUGACGCUGAGGUACGAAAGCAUGGGGAGCAAACAGGAUUAGAUACCCCCGUAGUCCCUGUCUCUUAUAC
rnacentral:rRNA from 1 species